GUUAUGGCCAUCAUCAAGCCAUUCAAGCUGGAAGAGGUCCGCGAUGCCCUGACCGCCAUCGGCGUUCACGGUCUCACGGUGACGGAAGUCAAGGGGUAUGGCCGUCAGAAAGGCCACACGGAAAUCUACCGCGGCGCUGAAUACGCCGUCAGUUUCCUGCCCAAGAUCAAGAUCGAGGUCGCUGUCGCCUCAUCCCAAGUCGACAAGACCAUCGAAGCGAUCACCGGCGCUGCAAAGACCGGCCAGAUCGGCGACGGCAAAAUCUUCGUCAUCAAUCUCG
rnacentral:misc_RNA from 1 species